UUCGGAACUAUUUGUUUUAUUUAAAAAAUGACGGAAAUAACCGCAAGUGCAGACUUGCAGAAGUGUGCCGAGCCAGAGGAUAAGCCAUCACAGCCAGCAGUUCUCGAGAUCAUAGAAGAACUUGAGAAAAUUCACGGAUAUUUUGAAAGUUUCAGCAUUGCGUAUUACAUGAACAAACACAAGGCGGAGGAACUUUACAAAACCAUGGUCCGAUUGAAGCGAAUCCGAGAUGAAUUUGAAAAGCAAAAAGAGCGCUGCGUGGACUUGAUUAAGCGCGAUGGAGAAAGCCAAAUCAUUCUGGAUGUAAUCGAGUACAUUGAUGACGCAUUGCAUUACAUCCGUUGUCUGCAGGAUGAAUACAUCAUGCAAGGGGUCGACAAAAAGAAACCGAUGCAUUAAAGGACAAAUACAAAAGUGGACAUACAUACAUACAUACAUGAAAACAUGUACCAAGAAGACAACAAGUCUGAAUACACAAGGGUCAAAAAUCGAUACAACGCGAAGGAGGGCAGUUUCAAAUGAAUGAAACAGAAGAUACAAAUCGAACAGAGUUGGAAACUAAUCGACAAGGAUAAACAGCUCGAACCAAUAUUAUUACAUAAUUACAAUUACAACAAUUACAAUAAACUAUUCCAA